rnacentral:rRNA from 1 species
AUGCUGCCACUACUACGCUUCUCUCUCGCAGAGUCACGAGCCGCACAGUUCACCUCAGUCGUCAGUGAGCUCCACGGCCCGAGGAAGGAAGCAAGCGGCAUCUCUCGGGAACGAACGACGAUGGGGCUGUCCGCCAUCUUCGCCGCGGCCGUGAUGGUCGCGAUCGUCGUGGUGGCGUCGGAGGCGAAGACGACGAUCGAGCCGUGCUCGGGGUCGGACUCCUGCCCGGCGCUGCUGGGCUACACGCUCUACGCCGACAUGAAGGUCUCCGAGGUGGCCGCGCUCUUCGCCACCGACCCGGCCGCGCUCCUCGCCGCCAACGCGCUCGACUUCGCCGCCCCGGGCGCCGCGCACCGCAUCCUGCCCAUGGGCCUCUUCCUCCGCGUGCCCACGCGCUGCGCCUGCGCCGACGGCGUCCGCAAGUCCGUCGCCGUCCGCUACGCCGCGCGCCCCGCCGACACGCUCGCCACCGUCGCCGACGUCGUCUUCGCGGGGCUCGCCUCCGCCGACCAGAUCCGCGGCGCCAACGGCCUCGCCGACGCCGACGCCGACGCGCCGCUCGAUGCGGGCCAGCGGCUCGUCGUGCCGCUCCCCUGCGUCUGCUUCAACUCCACCGACAGCAACCUCCCCGCCGUGUACCUCUCCUACGUGGUGCAGGUCGGGGACACCGUGCCCGCCGUCGCGGCCGCCUACGAGACCACCGUCACGGACGUCAUGAACGUCAACGCCAUGGGCAGCCCCGUCGCCGCGCCGGGCGACAUCCUCGCCAUCCCAUUGCCAGCAUGUGCAUCAUCAUUUCCAAAGACCGCUUCAGACCAUGGACUGCUGGUGGCAAAUGGAACCUAUGCACUUACCGCAGGCAACUGUGUGCAGUGCAGCUGUGGGCCGGGCAAUCUCAAUUUAUAUUGCACACCGGCUUCAUUGUCAGGAUCAUGCCCGAGCACGCAGUGCAGUAACAGCAAUGUGCUGCUCGGCAACGCGAGCACCCACGCCACAAAUGCAGGCUGCAAUGUCUCUUCAUGCAGCUAUGGAGGUUUUGUCAAUGGGACUAUUACAACACUGCUGGACACUGGUCUUCAACCGACAUGCCCAGGACCGCACCAAGUUCCUCUGCUCACAGACCCACCGACGACGGUGAACCGCGACUACUCGACCUCUCUUGCCCCGCUAUCCGCGCCCGUGCCCGCAGAAGCGGGCGGCGUCAUGGCGGAGCCCCCGCCGAAGUCGUCGGAGCACGGAGGGUCCUUCACGCUCCCCAAGGUUUCUCCGACGCAUGGCCCCGCCGGAAGCGUCUCAAAGGCACCACCGCCUCCGAUGAGCAAACCGCAGCGAAUCCUAUCCGGGUUCAUCUUGUGCCUUCUUCUCCAGCACUUCCAUGUGUGA